GAUUACUUUGUUGAUACUUAGCCAUCUGCUUCCACAACCAGCAUGAUAGACAUGUUUGCAAGGAAGUGUGACCUGCUGAUCCUUUCGUUUGUACUCCAUCUGACAGAUCACACACCUGGAAAUAACAAGGAGGAAGUUUCAUCAUGCACUAGCUUGGAUAUUCAACAAGUAUGGACAAAGAUUUCAAUAUUACAUGUGUAAUUGGUGCUGGCCAGUCGGAAAUAAUUAUGCAAAUUCUAUUAACUUCUGAAUGAGGAACAUGUCCAUGAGGAUUCACAUAGCCGUCCCCAAAACUUGUUUGGGACUGAGGCAUAGUUGUUGUUAUUCUUAGCUUCUAAAAUUUUCAAUUGUAUGUAAAGGACCCAAACAUUUUUUAAAGUCUGAGACUCCAUAGGUGGCCAUAAUUCAUUGCUAGAGUACAACAUAUUUUGCUA